GGUGGCUCAGUGGUAGAGUGCUUGUCUUGCAUGCAUGAGGCCUUGGGUUUGAUUCCUCAGCACCA
rfam:Dipodomys ordii contig_13696, whole genome shotgun sequence.